rnacentral:misc_RNA from 1 species
GGAGGAUGGAAGGGUGGAAGGAAAUGUAAUUUGAAUUUAUAUACAUGAAGAUACAUUUCCUCCGUUUAAUGUUUCCCUCCUGUGUUAUUGACUAAAUUCAUUUCCCUCCCUCCUUCCUUACAAAUACGGCAUUAAUUUUAUUGCUCCUGGGUCCAAAAGUGUCUAGCUGCAGUGACUUGUUUCUUAGUUGAGAUAAGUAUCUGUCAUCUUUUAAGUAUAUUGAUCGUAUUUUAGGAUGGUUUCUUUUCUUGUUUCUGACCAGGGAUUUGGAUCAAUAUUGUCCAUCUUUUAUUGCAUUUCAUAGGGAUGGUAUUGUAAUAUUGUGUUUUGAAACUUAAAAGUUCUCACUGUUGUUGUAUUUACACUUUAAAUACAGUUCUGAGGAACCACAUGAUGACAU